UACGUAGGGAGCAAGCGUUGUCCGGAAUCAUUGGGCGUAAAGCGCGCGUAGGUGGCCCCGUAAGUCCGCUGUGAAAGUCAAAGGCUCAACCUUUGAAAAGCCGGGUGGAUACUGUGGGACUAGAGUACGGAAGAGGCGAGUGGAAUUCCUGGUGUAGCGGUGGAAUGCGCAGAUAUCAGGAGGAACACCAAUAGCGAAGGCAGCUCGCUGGGACGUUACUGACACUGAGGCGCGAAAGCGUGGGGAGCGAACAGG
rnacentral:rRNA from 1 species